CUUUUCUUCCCCUUUCACCCACCCGCCUACCUGCCUACCCGAACUCUCUCCAAUGGAUCAUAUUGCAAGAAGAAGAAAAAGUGAAACCUCAUCUUAUACACCGGCGCCGACGUUGUCGCCGCCAUCGCCAUUAACCUCAUCGUAUCUUCCGUCAACGCUCACAGAGAAAAGCUCAAGAAGAAAAAAUGACUCGCGGGGACAAAUGUGCGAAUCAAUCUCUUCGCAUCCGAGAUCAAGAGACUAGUUGAUGAUAAAUCGAAGGAGGUUUAUGAUUCUGUAGCCUCAGUUACCCUCGAGAAAGUUACAUAUAUGAAUGUUAUAGCGCCCCCGGCAGAGCUCGAAGCAUACCAAUUUCCCUUAUCGAGCUCCGUCGCUGAAAUAAGAUUGGAUUCUUUCUUUUUGAUGUGUAGCGGUUUCCUUGGGAUCCAAGGUUCGGUAUCCUCUUCAAUCCAACGCGAGAUCGAAGGCGUCAGCGAUCGAUGAUUCAUCUAAAUCUUCUUCAGUUUCUCAAAGGGCAUAUCUAAAACAAUGUUGAGGAGGAAAUUCUGCUCUCUAAAAUCUCAUUCUACUAAGGAGGAACAGUCUGCAAAUAAAAAAGGGAAGCUGACCCGAUAGACUUCUGUAUUGCAGUAUGGAGGCAGAUAGAGAACAAUGAGGAUGUUACUAUUGGAGCUAUGAUGCUUGCAAUGCAAUCAUGAAGAUAAUUGGGCACUUUGUUCUCCAGACUGUACAACAUCUUCAAUUUCUGUUUAGGACAUUCCUAAGUGCUCAGGGUUAUGCAACCCAGAGGCAAAGAUGUUAAUGCUCCAUAAAAGAGAAAUUUGUUCGAGCUCCUACUUCUGAUCAAUAGCCAGUUUUGUUCAGUUCAUACUUUUACCAAUAAAUACCUUCCAAGAGAAGCCUGUACAGGAAACCAUCCCCAAUCUGGGAACAGUGUGUGAUUGAAAUUCAUUGCUCGCCGGAUGCUUAUUUAUUUGCUAAGGAUCAAAUUCUUAUAUAUAUGUUCAUCUUGUCCAUUACUUUGAGGUCAUAUACACAAAUUUUGUCAA